AAGACAACGGCACGCCCAUCAAUCCUCUACUGAUUGUUCUAUUUGUAUCUGUCAUUGCUCAGAUUAUUCUAGUCAUCAUCGCUGCUACUUCUAUAGAAUAUACUGGUGAUACAGCUUUACACAUAUGGAAGAUAAUGGCAAUUUAUCAAAGUGCAACUUACUUGUUGUUUAUCAUUAUAGAGUUUGUACUGCUAUGUACACAUACAAAAAUCGAUCGCUAUUGUAUAGAUGAACCCUGGGUCUAUUUGAUUAUUUUAAUAUGCAUUCAAUCUUUGGUUGGAUCAGUAUGUCUUCCAUUUAUCAUUAAAUAUUUAAUGAAGAAAAAACCAGAGAAAGACAUAGAACUGACGUACAUUGGUAGAAGGCAGUAAACGAGGAGAACACAAGUGAUACAAGUACAUUGUCUCACUCACUAAAGUUGUCUGUUUUUGAACAUCAAUGCUUUAUGAACAAUCAAGAUUAUAAAUUUUAGGCAGCAUUAAUUAGCAAUUAUUUGUUUGUGCUUGCCUGGAUGUGGCAAAAUAUGUGGGUCACAGCUAGGGCUGCGUGGCCACGGAAAUACUGCAUCCCUUUUUAAUCUUCGGAAUUAAAAGCAAGCCUUAUUAUUAUUAUCAUUAGUUAGCAAUUAUCGUCUGCAAGAGAAUGUAAGUAUUGGCAUUACUGCAGUGGCAAUAUAAACCAUUGUCACUGUUUGGGCAGGUUGCCUCGUAAUCUUAAAUGAACUUUGUUUAUAUUUGCUUAAUUUCACUUUACAUGUUUUUCCUUUGAUUUCAGUCAGUGGCACUUAGGCAUUCUUUUUCUUUCUUUUUUUUAAAUUGAUUAAAUUGUGUCUAAUUAUUUAAAGGCUAUUGUUUUGCUAAAGGAGUUUCAGUUUCUGAUACUUAUAGUUCAGCAAUCUGAAUAUACCUGGAAGCAUUGCCUAGUUGAAAAAUAUUUUGAUAUAUGCUGUCUAAUUCCAGUGUGUAAACUACAGGGCAGACAGCGAGCUGGUUACAGGUGUGUAUAGCUUCACGCUGGACAGUUUAAAGUCAGCCACCAGGGAAAGGUUAACUGACUUUAGAUUACAAGAGCGCUGUGAACAAAACAACAGACAUAUCCAGAAGUAGCUAUACAUUUCUUAAACUUAUUAAAGGGUUAAGACAGAGAGUACGAUAGAAGGAAGGUGGGUCAAGAAACCUCUUGGUGACUAUGGAAAGGGGAUAUUUUAAAAAGCUUGGAGAUGCUAAUAAGAAGGAAAGAUGGUCGCUACUUAUCGAACACGAUUGGUCAGUCUUCGAUCAAUAUUAUUAUAAGUUCUGCAUCCAUAUUUUAUAUUUGUUUCAGGUUUGAGUUUGAAGGUAUUAAACCCAAUACAAUUACAACUAACACUGUGUUACUUCUUUGUGUUCUAGUACUGAUUGAACUAUAUCAACGACACCUCCCAAAUCAGAAAAAAAUGUCAGAUGAUUGUGGAGAAAAUGCCGUCCAAGUAUUGUAGUCAAUGUCUGCCUAGGACACCCAUCCAAAUGUUGUUCAUUGUAUCUGCCUAGUACAC
rnacentral:sRNA from 1 species